GUAUUUUGCCUUCGGGUACAAUUGAGACAGGUGGUGCAUGGUUGUCGUCAGCUCGUGUCGUGAGAUGUUGGGUUAAGUCCCGCAACGAGCGCAACCCUUGUGUUUAGUUGCAAACAGGUCAAGCUGUGCACUCUAGACAGACUGCCGGUGACAAACCGGAGGAAGGUGGGGAUGACGUCAAGUCAUCAUGGCCCUUACGGCCUGGGCUACACACGUGCUACAAUGGUCGGUACAAAGGGUUGCCAAGCCGCGAGGUGGAGCUAAUCCCAUAAAACCGAUCGUAGUCCGGAUCGCAGUCUGCAACUCGACUGCGUGAAGUCGGAAUCGCUAGUAAUCGUGAAUCAGAAUGUCACGGUGAAUACGUUCCCGGGCCUU
rnacentral:rRNA from 1 species